rnacentral:tRNA from 1 species
GGAGAGAUGGCUGAGUGGAUUAAAGCAACGGUCUUGAAAAUCGUCAAAAAGAAUUUUAACACUUUUUCCAGGGUUCGAAUCCCUGUCUCUCCG